rnacentral:rRNA from 1 species
UACGAAAGGUGCAAGCGUUGUUCGGAAUCACUGGGCGUAAAGCGCACGUAGGCGGGUUCGUGUGUCGAUUGUGAAAUCCCUGGGCUUAACCUGGGAAUGGCAGUCGAAACUGCGGAUCUUGAAUGCCUGAGAGGAUGGGGGAAUUCCUGGUGGAGAAGUGAAAUUCGUAGAUAUCAGGAGGAACACCUGAGGCGAAGGCGCCUGUCUGGCAGUGCAUUGACGCUGAGGUGCGAAAGCGUGGGGAGCAAACAGG